AGCCUCUCUCUUCCCAACCAGGGUUUGGAAAUGGUUAUACUUCACCUAAAGUUGUUUACAUGAUGCCUGCCAGUUGAAAGAAAACCAACAAUGCUUGACACAGAGUGACAUGGCAGAAGAUUAAGCACUUGAGCAAUAAUGUGGCAAUUCACCAAAAGAGGUCUUAGUUAGGUGCUAUCUGAAAUCAUGAAAUUAAGUGGGAAAACAUACACAUGGAAAAGGUUUAUAUGUUUAAGAAAAAUAAAUCCAAAUUUUAGAUAAAUGAUACUCUUCACAAAGUAUACUAAACAAAUGACAUAUUUUCAUUGGCUGAUAGCGUCAUUUAUACACAUAUAUCAUUUUCCAUGUGCCAAGCCCUCCUGAGUGCCUCUCCUCUCAACCACUCCAUGAAAGUCAUUAUGGGAGGAAACAGAAGGGUCAGCAAUGUUAAGGUCAUUUCCCCUAAACCAUACAGCCGCCAAGUGGAAGCUACAGGAUUCCAACCUAGGUCUGAUGAUUGCCAAACCAAGAUGCUUCACCAUUAUUUGUUCUCUGGAAACAUUGAAAGUAUAAGUCCUUUUUAUAAACAGGAAGUAAUGGAAGUCUCCUUCAAAAGGCAUAAUAAAUCACUCCAGGAGAUACAGAGUUAAUCUGAGAAUAGCUGGAGAACAAUGAGAGAAUCUAGGCUGAACUUUACACAUCACAACAUACAAGGAGGCAGAAAGUGGGACUGGUGAAUGGAAAAGAAUAAAGGCUGAUGGUAUCAAUGUA